rnacentral:lncRNA from 1 species
GUAGAUAUCUUCAUGUAGUCCAGCAACAGCCAAAACCAAGUAAUCCCUUUGGAUUUGGGUCUGGACAACAACAGCAACAGAAACAGCAGCAGCAGCAGAGUUCCAACCCUUUUAGUUUUGGGGCUAAACAGCAGCAAUUCAAGGUUCCCUUUUCUUUCGCCUGCUAUUAUAAAGAUUGGAACCUGAGAUUGCUUUCUGUUUUAUUGACUGUUUAGUGUCUUUGCUUCUGAAUGUGAUCAGCCUUUUGAGAAUAAAUGGAGCCGUUCCAAUCCUUCGGAUAAUGGAGCUGGUCAUGCUCCAUCAUCCUCUAAACACCAACCUGAUAGCAAAUCC